AGCGAACGCUGGCGGCGUGCCUAACACAUGCAAGUCGAACGUAAAAGGGAGCAAUCCCAAGUAAAGUGGCGUACGGGUGAGUAACACGUAGGUAAUCUACACCAGAAUCUGGAAUAACCGGCCGCAAGGCUGGCUAGUACUGGAUAGAGCGACGUAAUCCGUAAUUGGGUUUUUCGGGAAAGGGAGCCUGUAAGAAGGCCUUCGUUCUGGGAUGAGCCUGCGUCCCAUCAGCUAGUUGGUUAGGUAAAUGCUUACCAAGGCAAUGGAGGGUAGCUGGACUGAGAGGACGAAUAGGCAAACCGGAACUGAAAACCGGGCCAGACUCCCUAGGGAAGGAGCAGUUGGGAAAUUUUCGGAAUUGACGAAAGUCUUGACGAGCCAAGCCGCGGGAGGGAAGAAGGGCUUCGGGUUGGAAAGCCCUGUCGAGUGGGAAGAAAAUGAUUGGAGUUCACAGCUCCAGGAAUUGACGGUACCAAUACAGAAAGCAACGGCUAACUACGUG
rnacentral:rRNA from 1 species